AGGUGGGGAGAUCUCUGAGGUGAGGGUACUAAUCAAGUACUAACACGCAGAUGCUCUAGAGUGUGCAAGAGUUCCAGCACUGAAGCGGAGAGAAAUAAUGGCGGCAGUCAGGAUGCAGAGGUGGAGGGCCGGCAGGUGAAGCCCCUCCGUCCAGAAGAGAUAGUUGCAAACAGUCUACAUAAGAAUGCACAACACUGCCAACUUCCUGGUUGGGAAAGGCACUUGGAAAACAUUGUUAUGAAAUAACCAUACGUUUGCUGUUUACCAAGCUACUUGAUCUGCAUUCUAAACAGGUACCUGAGGUUUAC